UAGAGGAAAUCGAUUAUAAAUAAAUUAUUAAUAAUUUCGCAUCUCAAAAAGCUAGAAAAAUAAAUUUCAAAUAAAAUUAUGAGUUUUCUUCCACAACAAAAAUCUUAGGGGGCCCUUAUUGAAGUUUGGCUUUAGGCCACAAAUAUCAUUUAGUAGCCCCUGCUGUAGCUAUCCACUCGUUAUCCGCUGCUCCCUCCUCAACAUCAUCAUUCGUACCUACAUAAGUGAACGUUCCUCAAUGAUAAAGCAUAUGAAUCAAUUCAAAACAUGGUCUUGCGAUCCCACACUUAAGAGUUCACUAUAUGAUGGUCAACCAUUUUGAGGUUACUCAGACUUCACCUAAUUAUUUUAGCAUGAGAAUAAAACAAUCGCAAAAUGGUGUUUACCACAAUUGCUAUGCAUAUUGCUACUAUUUAUCCCGCCUAAACUUGCAAUUUGGAGUGUUGCAAUGCAACAAAGCAUUAGUCAUUACAAUCUCGGAGAGAGGAACUCCAUUUGGGCCAAGAAUGUCUUUGAGGCAUUUCAACAAACACUUAGCGUGCACUAGUGUUGUCAAAGUGGUUGUAUAGAUGAGAGAUCGCCUCACCCUCCCCAAAUAUGCUUGGUAAUUUCAUGUUAUCACCCUUGUACCCAACAACAAUACCAAUCCUAUGGGGUUUAUGGGAUUAGGGCGAGCAAGCACAUUGUUGCUAUGACGAUAUACCCACAAGUUGUUGAAUUCGCAUUACUUAACUCUUGACAAAGAAAAGAGUUAGAAACAAACCUUAAAUGAUUAGGAGGAUUAAAGUGUUCUUCAAAUGAGGUCCAAAGUGAUUUAAAGAGAUGAUGAGGAAGGUCUUCAAUGAAAUUUGUAUGUGAGGGGAAGGGAAAAGGGACGAGUAGUGUAUUGUGUAGAGUGAGGUGUGUGCGUUUGUGUAGUGUUUUAACAGAAAGAAGUUAGAAAACAAAGUGAUAUAAAUAAGUUAGAAAACAAAGUGAUAUAAAUAAGUUAGAAAACAAAGUGAUAUAAACAAGUUAGAAAACUAAGUGAUGUUUUAAUAUAAACAAGUUAGAAAACUAAGUGAUGUUUUAAAAUAAACAAGUUAGAAAACUAAGUUUAAAAAAAUAUUAAAACACAUUACCUGGCGAGGCGAAAUACUAAGCAAUCUUAGACGCAGGCGACGCGAGCUUCUUAUCGCACGGCAAUGCUGGCGACGCUAGGGCUGCCGCGAGGUGGACCUCGCUACAA
rnacentral:lncRNA from 1 species